GCGGUGCAGGCGCGCGCCCAACGGCUUUGCGAGGCUCACUCGGUCUGAGAGGUCGGAGGCUGCGAGUGUCGCUGCUGAAGGCUGUGGUGGACUGGGCUGGAUCGCGGAUUUUGGAUUAGAUAAUAGAUUUGGGAUCGCGGAUUGGGGGUUGGAUCGCGGAUUUGGGGUUGGAUCGGGGAUUUGGGGUUGGAUAGGGGAUUUGGGGCUGGGUCGGCGGGGGCGUGGGGGGAGGUGAAAAGGUAACAGGGAGCUGCCCCCUCUCAAGAGCCGGUAGUUGGGAGUCUGAGAAGUCACCACCAUGAAGUUGUUCGGCUUCAGGAGCCGCAGGGGCCAGACGGUCCUGGGCUCCAUAGACCACCUCUACACGGGUUCCGGGUACCGAAUCCGGUACUCGGAACUGCAGAAGAUCCACAAGGCAGCUGUCAAGGGCGACGCUGCGGAGAUGGAGCGCUGUCUGGCGCGCAGGAGCGGAGACCUUGACGCCCUGGACAAGCAGCACAGAACUGCUCUACAUUUGGCCUGUGCCAGUGGCCAUGUGAAAGUGGUCACUCUCCUGGUUAACAGAAAAUGCCAGAUUGAUAUCUAUGACAAAGAAAAUAGAACGCCUUUGAUACAGGCUGUCCAUUGCCAGGAAGAGGCUUGUGCCGUUAUUCUGCUGGAACAUGGUGCCAAUCCAAACCUUAAGGAUAUCUACGGCAACACUGCUCUCCAUUAUGCUGUGUAUAGUGAGAGCACCUCACUGGCAGAAAAACUGCUUUUCCAUGGUGAAAAUAUUGAAGCACUGGACAAGGUAUAGAUCAAUCAACUUUCUUUCCAAAAUAUUUGUUUUAACAUUGACAUAGGUAAGGGUCAAUUUUUUAUAUUUGGAAGCUCAACCAUUCCCUGAAUGCAAAUGCAAAUAAUUUUGAAAUAAUUGUCUAAGAUUUUAUUUUAAAUAUUGAUACUUUUAAAGGAGCAUUAAAGGGUACAGCUUUAUAAAACGCACUUUGGAAAAUAUUUGUGAAUUUGUUAAAGGUAAAACCUUUUCAACUUUUUUUCUAUGCAGGGUUAUCUUUCCUUUUUUUCCCCGUAAUUAGCGUAAAACAACACAGGAAAGAAAAUAUGCCCUGGAAAUAGGCUUUAUCUUAAAACUCAAACAAAACUAAAGCAACUUACAAUAAGUGGACAUGUUGCUGCUGCUGAUAAUUUUCUGAAAAACUGAUGUAUCAUCUCUCAGUGGCACAAGGCUUAAGAGGGAAAAAUGGGAAGGGAAAAGGAGAGCAAUCAGAAAUAUGCAGGUCACUUGGAAAUUAGGUAAUGAGGGAAAAUGCUAUGAAGAGUUUUUUUUUUCUCUUAGUUUGUUGUUGUUCCAGUUUAUGUGUUGAGACAAGGCACUCCUUAGCUUUGGGUCUAAUAAUUUUUUGUUUGAAAAUGAGAGUGAGUUGAAACUCGCCUAGAGAUGAAUUUUAGGAAGACUUUGAGGAAACCAGAUUGGCAGUGAAUAUGUGGUGGUGAAGUGAGAAACACUUCAGCAGAAGGUGGAACAAAUUAUUAACUGACUUAUUGCCCAUCCUGGCAGAAACAGCCACUUAGAUAAGAGUCUAAAGACUCCUCUCAAACCUAGAAUGUCUUGGUGGGAAGGUGGGAGAUAAGGAGCUUGUAAAUAGCAAAAUCAAGUGGGAUUUUGAGUUUACUUGUUUGUGUUCUACCCAUACCCAGGAAACUUAACUGGAGCUUUAAUAAAUGACACUAUCUCUUACUCUUUUCUCUUUUUGGCCACAUGUCCAACUGAUAAAGGGAACUAGCCAUGCGGGUGAGAGAUGAGACUGAAGUGAUUGCUGCACUAAUUCUCAGAAUUGUGCAUUACAGUGACCUGAGGACAUUUUGUUAAAAAUCUACAAAUGUAGGCUUUCCCCUGAGGAUUUUGAUGUAAUAGACCUUAUAAGGCCUGAACAUUUUUAAAAACAUUUUCUUGAAGCUGGGCACAGUGACAUGUUCCUGUAGUCCCAGGUUGAGCCUGAGUUUAAGUUCAGCUUGAGCAACAUAGUGAGACUCUUGCCUCUAACAACAAUAACACCAAAAAAAACAAAAAACAAAAAACAAAAAAAAA
rnacentral:lncRNA from 1 species